rnacentral:misc_RNA from 1 species
AGCAGCCGCGGUAAUUCCAGCUCCAAUAGCGUAUAUUAAAGUUGUUGCAGUUAAAAAGCUCGUAGUUGAAUUUCGGGAUCAAUAUGUUGGUCGUGCCUCGGUACGUACUAGCUUAUUGGUUUCUCCUUUCUGAAGAACCAUGAUGUCAUUUAUUUGGUGUCGUGGGGAAUCAGGACUGUUACUUUGAAAAAAUUAGAGUGUUUAAAGCAGGCUCACGCUUGAAUACAUUAGCAUGGAAUAAUGAAAUAGGACGUUUGAUUCUAUUUUGUUGGUUUCUAGGAUCGACGUAAUGAUUAAUAGGGAUAGUUGGGGGCAUUAGUAUUCAAUUGUCAGAGGUGAAAUUCUUGGAUUUAUUGAAGACUAACUACCGCGAAAGCAUUUGCCAAGGAUGUUUUCAUUAAUCAAGAACGAAAGUUAGGGGAUCGAAGACGAUCAGAUACCGUCGUAGUCUUAACCAUAAACUAUGCCGACUAGGGAUCGGAUGAUGUUAAUUUUUUAAUGACUC